rnacentral:rRNA from 1 species
GACGAACGCUGGCGGUGUGCUUCACACAUGCAAGUCGAACGAGGUAGCAAUACCUAGUGGCGGACGGGUGAGUAACGCGUGGGAAUCUGCCUUUAGAUGGGGGAUAACGGGUCGAAAGACUCGCUAAUACCGCAUAUGACGAAAGUUGAAAGGAGUAAUCCGUCUAAAGAUGAGCCCGCGUCCGAUUAGCUAGUUGGUAGAGUAAAAGCCUACCAAGGCGACGAUCGGUAGCUGGUCUGAGAGGAGUGAUCAGCCACAAUGGGACUAGAGACACGGCCCAUACUCCUACGGGAGGCAGCAGUGGGAAUUUUACGCAAUGGGCGAAAGCCUGACGUAGCGACACCGCGUGAGCGAAGAAGCCCCUUGGGGUGUAAAGCUCUGUCAGCUGGAACGAAAAAAUGACGGUACCAGCAGAGGAAGCAUCGGCUAACUACGUGCCAGCAGCCGCGGUAAU